AGAGUUUGAUCCUGGCUCAGGAUGAACGCUGGCGGCGCGCCUAACACAUGCAAGUCGAACGGCACCUAUCUUCGGAUAGAAGCGAGUGGCGAACGGCUGAGUAACACGUGGAGAACCUGCCCCCUCCCCCGGGAUAGCCGCCCGAAAGGACGGGUAAUACCGGAUACCCCGGGGUGCCGCAUGGCACCCCGGCUAAAGCCCCGACGGGAGGGGAUGGCUCCGCGGCCCAUCAGGUAGACGGCGGGGUGACGGCCCACCGUGCCGACAACGGGUAGCCGGGUUGAGAGACCGACCGGCCAGAUUGGGACUGAGACACGGCCCAGACUCCUACGGGAGGCAGCAGUGGGGAAUCUUGCGCAAUGGGGGGAACCCUGACGCAGCGACGCCGCGUGCGGGACGGAGGCCUUCGGGUCGUAAACCGCUUUCAGCAGGGAAGAGUCAAGACUGUACCUGCAGAAGAAGCCCCGGCUAACUACGUGCCAGCAGCCGCGGUAAUACGUAGGGGGCGAGCGUUAUCCGGAUUCAUUGGGCGUAAAGCGCGCGUAGGCGGCCCGGCAGGCCGGGGGUCGAAGCGGGGGGCUCAACCCCCCGAAGCCCCCGGAACCUCCGCGGCUUGGGUCCGGUAGGGGAGGGUGGAACACCCGGUGUAGCGGUGGAAUGCGCAGAUAUCGGGUGGAACACCGGUGGCGAAGGCGGCCCUCUGGGCCGAGACCGACGCUGAGGCGCGAAAGCUGGGGGAGCGAACAAGAUUAGAUACCCUGGUAGUCCCAGCCGUAAACGAUCACAAUGGGUGUGGGGGGACGAUUCCCCCCGGGCCGCAGCCAACGCAUUUAAGCGUCCCGCCUGGGGAGUACGGCCGCAAGGCUAAAACUCAAAGGAAUUGACGGGGGCCCGCACAAGCAGCGGAGCAUGUGGCUUAAUUCGAAGCAACGCGAAGAACCUUACCAGGGCUUGACAUAUGGGUGAAGCGGGGGAGACCCCGUGGCCGAGAGGAGCCCAUACAGGUGGUGCAUGGCUGUCGUCAGCUCGUGUCGUGAGAUGUUGGGUUAAGUCCCGCAACGAGCGCAACCCCCGCCGCGUGUUGCCAUCGGGUGAUGCCGGGAACCCACGCGGGACCGCCGCCGUCAAGGCGGAGGAGGGCGGGGACGACGUCAAGUCAUCAUGCCCCUUAUGCCCUGGGCUGCACACGUGCUACAAUGGCCGGUACAGAGGGAUGCCACCCCGCGAGGGGGAGCGGAUCCCGGAAAGCCGGCCCCAGUUCGGAUUGGGGGCUGCAACCCGCCCCCAUGAAGUCGGAGUUGCUAGUAAUCGCGGAUCAGCAUGCCGCGGUGAAUGCGUUCCCGGGCCUUGCACUCACCGCCCGUCA
rnacentral:rRNA from 1 species